rnacentral:rRNA from 1 species
UGCAGUCGAACGCUGAAGCCUGGUGCUUGCACCGGGUGGAUGAGUGGCGAACGGGUGAGUAACACGUGAGUAACCUGCCCCUGACUUCGGGAUAAGCCCGGGAAACUGGGUCUAAUACCGGAUACGACUGCCGGACGCAUGUCUGGUGGUGGAAAGUUUUUUCGGUUGGGGAUGGGCUCGCGGCCUAUCAGUUUGUUGGUGAGGUAAUGGCUCACCAAGACGACGACGGGUAGCCGGCCUGAGAGGGCGACCGGCCACACUGGGACUGAGACACGGCCCAGACUCCUACGGGAGGCAGCAGUGGGGAAUAUUGCACAAUGGGGGAAACCCUGAUGCAGCGACGCAGCGUGCGGGAUGACGGCCUUCGGGUUGUAAACCGCUUUCAGCAGGGAAGAAGCGCAAGUGACGGUACCUGCAGAAGAAGUACCGGCUAACUACGUGCCAGCAGCCGCGGUAAUACGUAGGGUACGAGCGUUGUCCGGAAUUAUUGGGCGUAAAGAGCUCGUAGGUGGUUGGUCACGUCUGCUGUGGAAACGCAACGCUUAACGUUGCGCGUGCAGUGGGUACGGGCUGACUAGAGUGCAGUAGGGGAGUCUGGAAUUCCUGGUGUAGCGGUGAAAUGCGCAGAUAUCAGGAGGAACACCGGUGGCGAAGGCGGGACUCUGGGCUGUAACUGACACUGAGGAGCGAAAGCAUGGGGAGCGAACAGGAUUAGAUACCCUGGUAGUCCAUGCCGUAAACGUUGGGCACUAGGUGUGGGGGGCAUUCCACGUUCUCCGCGCCGUAGCUAACGCAUUAAGUGCCCCGCCUGGGGAGUACGGUCGCAAGGCUAAAACUCAAAGGAAUUGACGGGGGCCCGCACAAGCGGCGGAGCAUGCGGAUUAAUUCGAUGCAACGCGAAGAACCUUACCAAGGCUUGACAUACACCGGACCGUCCUGGAAACAGGUCUUCUUCUUUGAAGCUGGUGUACAGGUGGUGCAUGGUUGUCGUCAGCUCGUGUCGUGAGAUGUUGGGUUAAGUCCCGCAACGAGCGCAACCCUCGUUCUAUGUUGCCAGCAUGUGAUGGUGGGAACUCAUAGGAGACUGCCGGGGUCAACUCGGAGGAAGGUGGGGAUGACGUCAAAUCAUCAUGCCCUUUAUGUCUUGGGCUUCACGCAUGCUACAAUGGCUGGUACAGAGAGAGGCGAACCCGUGAGGGCAAGCGAAUCCCUUAAAGCCAGUCUCAGUUCGGAUCGUAGUCUGCAAUUCGACUACGUGAAGUCGGAGUCGCUAGUAAUCGCAGAUCAGC